rnacentral:rRNA from 1 species
GAUGAACGCUGGCGGCGUGCCUAAUACAUGCAAGUCGAACGAACAGGCGAGGAGCUUGCUCCUUGGACGUGAUCGGCGGGCGGGUGAGUAACACGUAGAAAACCUACCUAUGCGGCGGGGAUCAAUUCGGAAAACCGGAUCUAAUACCGGAUAAUAUUUCGAUCCACAUGGUUCGAUAGUAAAAUGUAACUUUACUAUCACUUAUAGAUGGACCUGCGCCGUAUUAGCUAGUUGGUAAGGUAACGGCUUACCAAGGCAACGAUCCGUCGCCGACCUGAGAGGUUGAUCGCCCAGACUGGAAUUGAGAACCGGUCCAGACUCCUACGGGAGGCGCCAGAGGGGAACCUUCGGCAAUGGGCGAAAGCCGGACGGGGCAACGCCGCGGGAGGGAUGAAGGUCUUCGGACCGUAAAACUUUUUUAUUAGGGAAGAACAAACGUGUAAGUAACUGUGCACGUCUUGACGGUACCUAAUCAGAAAGCCACGGCUAACUACGUG